GUCAUCCUGUGUCUCCAGGGCAGCCCUUUGGCACGUUCUGUGUCCAACUCUAGACAGAGCAAGUGGCCGGCAGGGACCACACCUUGGCCUCCUGUGCCUGGCAGGAUGGCAACCCACCAACUAAAAUACUCCUUCAGAAACAUUUAAAGGUGCAGGAGCCUGGAGCUGCUGGUGGCCUUCUCCACCCCAUUCGGGAGAGACUGACACUGAGCCAGAGCAGGAGUGGCGGAGACGAAUGCCCGGUGAAAGUGAUACGGACUCGGAGGAGAGGGGCGUCCCUGAAGCCGGACGCGCCCUGUGAAGUUCCUGGUCUUCUGAAGCCAUUAUUCCAAUGUCUUCCUCCGAGGCAGAUUGAGGUUGAUGGACUAUCUACGUGAUCUGGCACGUGCCUACAUCCCUGGACGCAUCCUGUGCGGCUUUCCCCUCACCCACUCGGCCCCUCCACCGGAGUCCCUCACCCCUGCUCACUCCCACCGGCAGGACUUUGACCAGCUGCUCCCUCUCCUCUGAAGCUUCUGGAACACACGAUGCACGUGCAUCCAAGCGAUACAAGAGACCCCGCAGAGGAGAAAGAGGCCUGCAGGUGCCUGUGCUUCCCACUUUCUCACAGAGCCUUUUCCUGUGUGGUUUGUGCAACCAAGAACAUCUACUCUACUGAGUUUUCCCAAAA